CCUGGCCUUGACAUACUAAGAACUUUCCAGAGAUGGAUUGGUGCCUUCGGGAACUUAGAUACAGGUGCUGCAUGGCUGUCGUCAGCUCGUGUCGUGAGAUGUUGGGUUAAGUCCGCAACGAGCGCAACCCUUUUCCUUAUUUGCCAGCGGGUAAUGCCGGGAACUUUAAGGAUACUGCCAGUGACAAACUGGAGGAAGGCGGGGACGACGUCAAGUCAUCAUGGCCCUUACGGCCAGGGCUACACACGUGCUACAAUGGUCGGUACAAAGGGUUGCCACCUCGCGAGAGGAUGCUAAUCUCAAAAAGCCGAUCGUAGUCCGGAUCGCAGUCUGCAACUCGACUGCGUGAAGUCGGAAUCGCUAGUAAUCGCGGAUCAGAAUGCCGCGGUGAAUACGUUCCCGGGCCUUGUACACACCGCCCGUCACACCAUGGGAGUUUGUUGCACCAGAAGUAGGUAGUCUAACCGCAAGGAGGACGCUUACCACGGUGUGGCCGAUGACUGGGGUGAAGUCGUAACAAGGUAGGCGUAGAUGA
rnacentral:rRNA from 1 species